AUGGACCCAGCGGACUCAGCUCACCUCGAGAGAGAGGUGGACCUUGCUCGUAUCCUCGGACUGAUGACUCGCAUUAGCCACGCCUCUGAUUUGCAGACAUUUUCUGUCGGGCUGAAUGCAAUACAAACCAUAUUUGACAGAAAUCCUCAACUACGCCAGCUGUCUGUUGCCUCGGAGUUCAGCCGUUCACUGACCCAGGCUAAGGAGGCAGUCAAAGCCCGGGAGCUGGCCCAAUUCACCCUAAUCUCCUCAUCCACACCGCCUCAGUCGCAGCGAGCAAGCCCUCUCACGCUGCCGCAGCAGAUGGAGCAUUCUAUAGCCCCACUGCCGCAGCCGAAGUCGCAGCAUCGGACUCCUUCCUCCCUCACGUCUGGUUCCGACCACCCCUCACCUGCCUCGUGCCUGGCAGGAAUGAGGUCGGAGGAUGAGGGACCAGUCACUGUUGCUCCGACACCCUCCGUUUUUUCUGUCGCUCCCGUUUCCAAGAGAAAGCGGCGUUCUCGUCGUCGCCGUCCCUCACCGCAACCUGAGUCCAGUACCUGCUUUGAACAGCUGGACGUGGUGAGUGAACAGAACAAUUUUCACCCGGCUUCUUCCACGCAGGGAAUUUCAAGCUCUGAGUCAGUAAAUUCAGAGUCAGUUAACCUUUUGACUGUUAACUCUGAGUCUGUUGAAUUAGAAACUGAUGGUCCUAAGAUGGCUGACUCUGAGGAUGCCUUUCAGGACUCUGUACAUUCUAAUGAUUUUCCUUUUGUUUCUUCCAAGUUUGAGAAAGUUCCGGUGUCAGAUGACCUUAUUUCAUUCGAGUCGAACGAAGCUUUGUGUUCAGUAACUGAGAAAGGUGUGUUUGAGUUUCAUUCUGAAAAGACUGGAGUUUCUGUUUUUACUUCUCAGCCAAGUUAUGUUGCUCCUGAGCCACCGGUUUUUGGAUCAGUUAAUAGUACAAGGAUGGCUUCGGGAGCACUAGUUAAUAUUGAGCUUUCAGAUGUCAUGUGUGGAUCUGUUAUGGAAAUUUGUGACCUUAACAAUAAUAAGCUCACUCAGGAUAUUAAGAGUCCUGUCCAGAAGACUGUUUGCUGCUUCACACAAAAGACAAUCUUUCCAACCACUGAACUAAACAUGGACCGCUUAACCUUCCCGCUAAAUCCUUUCAACGCUGUUCAGGCUACACCUCUUGAAACUGUUGUUGAUGUUGCUUCACCCAAGUGCUGUGCGGCUUUCCAGCCAGUUCAUUCUGUGACUACAUGUGACAAAUUUCAUGUUCCUAUAACCUCUCCUGAGUUAAAAAUCACUAGCCCAGAGAAUGCGAAUUCCAAGUCUGUUUGUGUAACUCACUGUGAAGUCGUUAACACUGUGCAUUCUGUGACUGUCCAGGCUAAGAGCACCAAGGUGUCGUCUGCUAUAAACAAGCUGGCAAAAGAACUUCGUUUAAAUACUGCAGAGUUGGUUGCUCUAGUUAAAGUCUUGGUUCCCCGAUCUUGUUUGUAUAACUCUGUGCACCACGCUUUUCAGCCACUAGCCCUGGACACUGUGUGUGCAACUUCCCAGGCUGCGUUUUGUAAGACUGUGUUUAAUGUUGCUUCACACCCUGUUAAUUCAGACUCCGCUUGUAUGAUUUCUCCAGCACCUGUGACUGCCCCUGAACUCGUCUUUUCUAAGACUACUAAUGUCAGCUUGGACAAUUUAAGAAUAGUAGUUUUACCAAGGUCAGCCUGCCAUAAGUCUUGGUUUUCUAGAACCAUGUCUGGUACCAUAAACCUGGUUUUCCCUGUGACUGUUACAGCUCCUCUGCUCCGCUCUCCGCAUCCAGUUCCCAGGCAGACUAUGGCUCGUUCAUCUCUGCACCCGUAUCUGCUCCUCGGGUGGGGAUGGCGGGUGCCUGGUUGUUGCCUGUGCCUGUUCUGGUUCCCUGGGUGGUGGCAACUGAGACCCUGCUGGCUCCUGCACCUGUUUCAGUUCCGCGGGUGGGAGCAGCGGUGGUCCAGCUAG
ensembl:lncRNA